CGCACGGGUGAGUAGCGCGUGGGAACCUGCCCUGGAGUGGGGGAUAACCGAGGGAAACUUCGGCUAAUACCGCAUGCGCCCGGUGAGUGAUCACCGGGGAAAGAUUUAUCGCUCUAGGAGGGGCCCGCGUCGGAUUAGCUAGUUGGUGGGGUAACGGCCUACCAAGGCAGUGAUCCGUAGCUGGUCUGAGAGGAUGAUCAGCCACACUGGGACUGAGACACGGCCCAG
rnacentral:rRNA from 1 species